GGCAAAAAUAAUAACCAUGAUUAUCUUGAUCACGAUUGUAACUGUAAUUAUUAAUCGCGAUUAUUCCUCAUAGUGGCACGUUCUCACACUUCUGAGGACUGGGGUUCAAAUCCCGGCCCAGUCUGUGUGGAGUUUGCAUGUUUUCACCGGGCCUGCAUGGCUUUUCUCCGGGCACUCCACAAAGUUUCCUCCCACAUCCCCAAAACAUUGUAUGUUAAUUGGACUCUAAAUUGCCCAUAGGUUUGAAUGUGAGUGUGAAUGGUUGUUUGUUUUUAUUUGCCCUGCAAUUGUCGGGUGAUCAGUUCACGUGCACCCCGCCUCAUGCCCGAAGAUAGCUGAGCUAGGCUCCAGCACUCCAGCGACGCUUGUGAGGAUAAGCGGCUAACAGAAUUGACUGAUGGAUGGAACACUGAAGGCUGAUAAAUUCAGAGGGCUGCGUCGGGAGCAGCAUUUGGAUUCAAAUGUGGCCAAACAAACGGCACCGGUGGAAAUUCAACUACUGUGGGUCAAAGACCAAGGAGAAAGGUGGAAAGCAGCUUCUUCAGCAGAAAGAGAAGAGGAAAGCAGAGCCUACAUCUACAGUUAAGAUGGUCCUACCGGGGAGGAGACCCCGGGGAUGACCCAGGACAUGUUGGAGAGACCACGUCACUCAGCUGGCCUUGGAAACCCUCGGGAUCCCCCCAGAAGAGAUGGACGAAGUGGCUGGGGAAAGGAAAGUCUGGGCAUUCGUUAAAGCUAGUGCACCUACGACCUGUCCUCAGGUUAACAUGAAUGUAUGAAUGAAUGGUACUUUGUGUGGACAAAAUUGCG